rnacentral:lncRNA from 1 species
CAUUCUUAAGCGAGCAUGAAGAAUUUGACCAAAACGAUGUCCUAUAUAAUAAAACGCUGGGAUCUUACUAUUUUGGGUACUAAUUUGUUUUUUGAAUAAUGAUAGAGAUUUACAUUUUCUUAUGUUUAAGUUAAGAGUGUUCCAUAGUUUUGUUGUUGCAGGGAUGAAAUAUUCAGAAUAUAAACGGGUCCGUGUGUUGACUUGUGAAAUAUUAUUUCUCUGUCUUGUAUUAUGAUCAUGCCUACUGCCUACUGAAUCAGGCAGUAAGUCUCUUAAAUACUCUGGAGUUUUAUUAUUCAAAAUUUUGUGAUAAUGAGUUAGUCUGUGAUUGCGUCGUCUUUCAGAUAAUUUUUCCCAUCGAGUUUCAACAUAUAAAUUGUUUAUACUGGUAAGUUUAGUACCCCCCCCCCCCCCCCCCCCCCCCCCCCCCCCCGUGACGAUACGCGCUGCGUCAAGCUGAAUACUUUCAAGUUUAGCAAUCAAAUUCUGAUUUUGAGAGUCCCAAACGACAUCGGCAUAUUCAAGAAUUGGGCGAACAAAUGAUAUGUAAAUUUUUUCAAGUGAAAAUCUAUCAAGAACAUUUUUCAUUUUUCUCAUUAUAUUUAUUCUUUUGUAAGAUUUAGAAACUAUAUAUUCAAUAUGGUCGUUCCAGGAUCCGUUGUUAGAAAAAAAGACACCUAGAUGUUUGUGUUUACUUACUGUUUGUAACUCUUGGGUGUUCAUAUUUAAUGGAGGAUGAAAGGGUCUAUUUAUUUUUUUUGAAAUUAUCAUACUUUCAGUUUUUUGGGCAUUAAAAUUCACAAGCCAUUUUUUUGACCAAUUAUAAAUCUUAUCUAGAUCGUCAUUUAAAAUUUUAGCUGUUUCUGUUGGAUUGUCAACCAUAAUAUAUAACGAAGUGUCAUCUGCGAAUAGCUUAAUUUGAGCUUGAAUGUCUUCUACAAUAUCGUUU